rnacentral:rRNA from 1 species
ACCAUUUGCCAGGGUCCGAGCGGGCGUAGCAAUACGUCAGCGGCAGACGGGUGAGUAACGCGUGGGAACGUACCUUUUGGUUCGGAACAACACAGGGAAACUUGUGCUAAUACCGGAUAAGCCCUUACGGGGAAAGAUUUAUCGCCGAAAGAUCGGCCCGCGUCUGAUUAGCUAGUUGGUAGGGUAAUGGCCUACCAAGGCGACGAUCAGUAGCUGGUCUGAGAGGAUGAUCAGCCACAUUGGGACUGAGACACGGCCCAAACUCCUACGGGAGGCAGCAGUGGGGAAUAUUGGACAAUGGGGGCAACCCUGAUCCAGCCAUGCCGCGUGAGUGAUGAAGGCCCUAGGGUUGUAAAGCUCUUUUGUGCGGGAAGAUAAUGACGGUACCGCAAGAAUAAGCCCCGGCUAACUUCGUGCCAGCAGCCGCGGUAAUACGAAGGGGGCUAGCGUUGCUCGGAAUCACUGGGCGUAAAGGGUGCGUAGGCGGGUUUUUAAGUCAGGGGUGAAAUCCUGGAGCUCAACUCCAGAACUGCCUUUGAUACUGAAGAUCUUGAGUCCGGGAGAGGUGAGUGGAACUGCGAGUGUAGAGGUGAAAUUCGUAGAUAUUCGCAAGAACACCAGUGGCGAAGGCGGCUCACUGGCCCGGUACUGACGCUGACGCACGAAAGCGUGGGGAGCAAACAGGAUUAGAUACCCUGGUAGUCCACCCCGUAAACGAUAAAUGCCAGCCGUUAGUGGGUUUACUCCCUAGUGGCGCAGCUAACGCUUAAAGCAUUCCGCCUGGGGAGUACGGUCGCAAGAUUAAAACUCAAAGGAAUUGGCGGGGGGGGCCCCGCCACCAAGACCGGGUGGGAAGCAAGGUGGGGUUUUAAAUUUCCGACGGCUAACGCGCGGCAAGAAAACCC